GUCGUCAGCCGGCUCAAAAUAAUUUUCGUUCAAAGUUAAUUGGGCAGACUAAAAUUUUUUUGACAUUGAAGAUUUGUUAUCAAAACAACAUUUAAAGUUUAAAAAUCAAUCAUCUUCAACAAUUACAACACAAACUAAUUUGCGUGGUUUUAAAAACUAUAUCAAUUUGAUCCUGUAUAUUUGUACAAAGAUAUCAUGAUUGUCUUGUUCCAGCAAUAAAGUCAUAUAUGAAAGAUUUAAAAAGCUUCAUCAACUUACAACAACAGACUCUAGAUUCCAAUAUUAGACUAAAUUUAGACCUAUAAGGUUGUGACAAAACCCUGAAGAUUUAAUCAAAA